UACGAAGGGGGCUAGCGUUGUUCGGAAUUACUGGGCGUAAAGCGCACGUAGGCGGAUAUUUAAGUCAGGGGUGAAAUCCCAGAGCUCAACUCUGGAACUGCCUUUGAUACUGGGUAUCUGGAGUAUGGAAGAGGUGAGUGGAAUUCCGAGUGUAGAGGUGAAAUUCGUAGAUAUUCGGAGGAACACCAGUGGCGAAAGGCGGCUCACUGGUCCAUUACUGACGCUGAGGUGCGAAAGCGUGGGGAGCAAACAGGAUUGAGAUACCCCAGC
rnacentral:rRNA from 1 species